rnacentral:rRNA from 1 species
AUUGAACGCUGGCGGCAGGCCUAACACAUGCAAGUCGAGCGGAUGAAGGGAGCUUGCUCCUGGAUUCAGCGGCGGACGGGUGAGUAAUGCCUAGGAAUCUGCCUGGUAGUGGGGGAUAACGUCCGGAAACGGGCGCUAAUACCGCAUACGUCCUGAGGGAGAAAGUGGGGGAUCUUCGGACCUCACGCUAUCAGAUGAGCCUAGGUCGGAUUAGCUAGUUGGUGGGGUAAAGGCCUACCAAGGCGACGAUCCGUAACUGGUCUGAGAGGAUGAUCAGUCACACAGUGACAGAGACACGGGGCAGAGACCUAUGGGAGACGGAGGAGUGGAGUAUUGGGCAAUAGGGGAGAACGCGAGCCAGAGAUGCGGCGCGUGUGUGAAGAAGCUCCUGAGAUUGAAGAACAUUUUAAGUGGAGAGAAAGCAGAGUAUGUAAAUCUCUCGCUGUUGACAUGUUCCAAAGAGAAUACGCCGCCGAUAAUCUUG